GACUAUGGCCACUGCGCCCUCAACGUGCCGGGUCCUGUCUGAUCUGGGAAGCUAAGCAGGGCCCGACCUGGUUAAGCCCUUGGAUGGGAGAACCAAGGCUAGCACCAGUGUAUAGUAG
rnacentral:rRNA from 1 species